rnacentral:rRNA from 1 species
CCUACGGGUGGCUGCAGUCGAGAAUCAUUCACAAUGGGGGAAACCCUGAUGGUGCGACGCCGCGUGGGGGAAUGAAGGUCUUCGGAUUGUAAACCCCUGUCAUGUGGGAGCAAAUUAAAAAGAUAGUACCACAAUAGGAAGAGACGGCUAACUCUGUGCCAGCAGCCGCCGUAAUACAGAGGUCUCAAGCGUUGUUCGGAAUCACUGGGCGUAAAGGGUGCGUAGGCUGUUUCGUAAGUCGUGUGUGAAAGGCGGGGGCUCAACCCGCGGACGGCACAUGAUACUGCGAGACUAGAGUAAUGGAGGGGGAACCGGAAUUCUCGGUGUAGCAGUGAAAUGCGUAGAUAUCGAGAGGAACACUCGUGGCGAAGGCGGGUUCCUGGACAUUAACUGACGCUGAGGCACGAAGGCCAGGGGAGCGAAAGGGAUUAGAUACCCGUGUAGUC